AUUGAACGCUGGCGGCAGGCCUAACACAUGCAAGUCGAACGGUAACAGGAAGCAGCUUGCUGUUUCGCUGACGAGUGGCGGACGGGUGAGUAAUGUCUGGGAAACUGCCUGAUGGAGGGGGAUAACUACUGGAAACGGUAGCUAAUACCGCAUAACGUCGCAAGACCAAAGAGGGGGACCUUAGGGCCUCUUGCCAUCGGAUGUGCCCAGAUGGGAUUAGCUAGUAGGUGGGGUAACGGCUCACCUAGGCGACGAUCCCUAGCUGGUCUGAGAGGAUGACCAGCCACACUGGAACUGAGACACGGUCCAGACUCCGACGGGAGGCAGCAGUGGGGAAUAUUGCAAAAUGGGCGCAAGCCUGAUGCAGCCAUGCCGGGUGGAUGAAGAAGGCCUUCGGGUUGUAAAGUACUUUCAGCGGGGAGGAAGGGAGUAAAGUUAAUACCUUUGCUCAUGGACGUUACCCGCAGAAGAAGCAUCGGCUAACUCCGU
rnacentral:rRNA from 1 species